CUUGCUCCGCUGACGACCGGCGCAGUGGUGCGCGACGCGUAUGCAAUCUACCUCUUACUAAGGGAUAGCCCAGAGAAAUUUGGAUUAAUAUCUUAUGUGAUAUGUGACUGGCAUCGGUUACAUAUUAAAGGUUACGGUAAGAGAUGAGCAUGCGUCUCAUUAGUUAGUUGGUAAGGUAACGGCUUACCAAGACUUCGAUGAGUAGGGGUCCUGAGAGGGAGAUCCCCCACACUGGUACUGAGACACGGACCAGACUCCUACGGGAGGCAGCAGUGAGGAAUAUUGGACAAUGGACGGAAGUCUGAUCCAGCCAUGCCGCGUGUAGGAAGACUGCCCUAUGGGUUGUAAACUACUUUUAUACAGGAAGAAUAAGAUCUACGUGUAGAUUGAUGACGGUACUGUAAGAAUAAGGACCGGCUAACUCCGUGCCAGCAGCCGCGGUAAUACRGAGGGUCCGAGCGUUAUCCGGAAUUAUUGGGUUUAAAGGGUCCGUAGGCGGGCUGUUAAGUCAGAGGUGAAAUGCUGCGGCUCAACCGUAUGCACUGCCUUUGAUACUGGCGGUCUUGAGUUAUACUGAAGUGGCUAGAAUAAGUAGUGUAGCGGUGAAAUGCAUAGAUAUUACUUAGAAUACCGAUUGCGAAGGCAGGUCACUAACUAUACACUGACGCUGAUGGACGAAAGCGUGGGUAGCGAACAGGAUUAGAUACCCUGGUAGUCCACGCCGUAAACGAUGGAUACUAGCUGUUCGGUUUUCGGACUGAGCGGCCAAGCGAAAGUGAUAAGUAUCCCACCUGGGGAGUACGUUCGCAAGAAUGAAACUCAAAGGAAUUGACGGGGGCCCGCACAAACGGUGGAGCAUGUGGUUUAAUUCGAUGAUACGCGAGGAACCUUAUCAGGGCUUAAAUGUAGAUUGACAGGUUUAGAGAUAGACUUUUCUUCGGACAAUUUACAAGGUGCUGCAUGGGUUGUCCGUCAGCUCGUGGCCGUGGAGUUGUCCAGGUUAAGUCCUAAUAACAAGCGCCAACCCCUGUCCUUUAUUUGCCCGCCUUGUUAUGUAUGGGGACUUUUAACUAGAACUGCCCGGUGCCAACCCUUUGAGGGAAGGUGAGGGAAUAACUUCAAAAAUCCUUCCCGGGGCCCUUACGGUCUGGGGGCCCCCCAACGUGCCAC
rnacentral:rRNA from 1 species